AGAGCGAACGCUGGCGGCAGGCCUAACACAUGCAAGUCGAGCGCCCGUAGCAAUACGGGAGCGGCAGACGGGAUAGUAACACGUGGGAACGCGCCCUUCGGUUCGGAAUAACUCAGGGAAACUUGAGCUAAUACCGAAUACGCCCUUACGGGGAAAGAUUUAUUGCCGAAGGAACGGCCCGCGUCCGAUUAGCUAGUUGGUGAGGUAAUGGCUCACCAAGGCACGAUCGGUAGCUGGUCUGAGAGGAUGACCAGCAUCACUGGGACUGAGACACGGCCCAGACUCCUACGGGAGGCAGCAGUGGGGAAUAUUGGACAAUGGGCGCAAGCCUGAUCCAGCCAUGCCGCGUGGAUGAUGAAGGCCUUAGGGUUGUAAAGUCCUUUUAACGGGGAAGAUAAUGACGGUACCCGUAGAAUAAGCCCCGGCUAACUUCGUGCCAGCAGCCGC
rnacentral:rRNA from 1 species